GUGAGACUGUCUUAAAAAAAAAAAAAAUUCGGCUGAAGUUUUUCUUUUAACAGGAUUUAGGCAGCAUACAUGAUGCCAGUCUGCAACUAUACCAGCCAGUGGUCUCUUUUUCAAAAAAAGAAGCUUCGAUACCUCAGAUGGAAACAGACUCAUAGCAAUCAGGGGAAGUUGAGCAGUGUGGCGGUAGUUACAGAAUGGGGAGAGCUGGACAUGAAGGAGACAUAAGUGAAGAGAGGAGAGGACACAGAAGCAGGAAGAAGAAUGUCCUCAAAGAUGAGAUCAAUGUUGGUGACUGCCAUGCAGAAUCAAGCCUUGGCUCUGCCGUGUACCCCUGAGAGGAAAAUCAGUUCUCUUUUCACUCCCAUGUCCUGCUCUGACUAUCUUUAUGGGGACUGAAAUGAGGCACUUUUCAAAAAAGGUAAGGAAUAAUUGGCCCAUGUCUCCUUUCUUGUGCAAUCUUCAUUUAUC
rnacentral:lncRNA from 1 species